rnacentral:lncRNA from 9 species
CACUAAGGGAGCAAGGAAGGAACUAGACCUCACGGGAGCCGCAGGGCGCAGCAGAGCCUGAGGCCCGCGUGUGGGCGUCCCUCCCGUCCUGCUGGAACAGAAAGUUGAAUGGGGAAGAGCUGGUCAAUUGGGAGGAUUUUUGCAACACAGGUUUCAUGACCCUGGCAAGGACCCAGGAAGACAGGCCUGGGAAUGUCCACUGUCGGUAGCUGGAAGCCUGCACAAAGCUGUGGCCUUCACGAGAGUCUGGACUCCCUGGGCGUUCUGCGUGAUUCCCUGUUGCUCCAACACCUUGCGGAUUUCAUACUAAUUAAACUGGAUGAGCCAGAGGACAAUGCACCAGGGGCUCUGGUGAGACACGUGCUGCAGAGGGCGGGAGAGAGCCUACGAAGGGCCGGGGGCCCGCUGCGUCCGUGUGUAGGAGUCCAGCGGUUCGGAGCCCAACACUCACCUCCUCCAAAGAAAAGACAGACCCUGCAUUUUGCACGCCCCUCCACGAAGAAGGCCCUGCAGGCCUGGUGGCUUCCUCAGAUGCUGGAGGCAGCACGCGCCGUUCUUGGAAACACUGCCCAGACCACAGUGUGUAAUGACAUCCGCAAAGCCCCUCCGGCCCACGUACCCUAACAUCUUCGUAGGUUUGGGGGAUUAGGACGUGAACACCUUUGGGGGCCAUCAUUCUGCCCGCCACCCUGGAGCAGCCCACUGGGCUGUGCAUUUUGUGUAGAAAGAGAAGUGACCUGAGCGUAUUCACACCCCUGGACAGCGACAGCAGGCGACAACAGGCAACAACAGGUGACAGCUGGCGGCAGCAGGCGACAGCAGACGGCAGCAGGCUUGGCUGUGGGUUGGAAUCAGCACGCCUUUCCUGUGGGCCGUGCAGUGAGCACCGUGGUGGCCGGGUCACAGGACCACACGGGGCCCAGAGGCAUGAUGCCUACCCCAAAAGGCCGACCGGUUACAGCAGCAGCUGAAGUUCCACCCAGCAGCACCCGAAAGCAGAGUUAGCCUCAUUCUAGCACCUUCCCUGGAGGAAUCCCGCAGCCCUCGGUGGAAAGUUGGCCCAAAGGGGAGCCGUGCUUCCUCCUGACUGAAUCGGCGCCUUUUCCAAGCGUGGAUUUCUUCUCCUGCCCUGCUGCUCCCUCUCUGAGGGUUACGAGAAUGUUCCACGUCAGAUCUGGAAGCCCACGCCCUAUUGCUCCAGACCAAAGGAUCUACCUGACAGCAAAGGAGGUGUGAGCUGGGGCUCGUCAGCCUGGGAGUCUUGGAGUCUGUUUCCC